GAUGAACGCUAGCGGCAGGCUUAACACAUGCAAGUCGAGGGGUAACAGGGCUUCGGCCGCUGACGACCGGCAAACGGGUGCGGAACACGUACGCAACAUACCUUUAUCUGGGGCAUAGCCCGAAGAAAUUCGGAUUAACACCCAUAAGACUUAUAGAGUGGCAUCACUUAGUAAUUAAAAAUUUAUUGGAUAGAGAUUGGCGUGCGUCCUAUUAGC
rnacentral:rRNA from 1 species